AUGAUUUUAGGUGCUUGCACUUGAAAGAUUUAACAUUGAGACGAGUGGCGAACUGGUGAGUAACACGUGGGUAACCUGCCCUUGAAGUAGGGGAUAACACUUGGAAACAGGUGCUAAUACCGUAUAACAACCAAAACCACCUGGUUUUGGUUUAAAAGACGGCUUCGGCUGUCACUUUAGGAUGGACCCGCGGCGUAUUAGCUUGUUGGUAAGGUAACGGCCUACCAAGGCGAUGAUACGUAGCCGACCUGAGAGGGUAAUCGGCCACAUUGGGACUGAGACACGGCCCAAACUCCUACGGGAGGCAGCAGUAGGGAAUCUUCCACAAUGGACGAAAGUCUGAUGGAGCAACGCCGCGUGAGUGAUGAAGGGUUUCGGCUCGUAAAACUCUGUUGUUGGAGAAGAACAGGUGUCAGAGUAACUGUUGACAUCUUGACGGUAUCCAACCAGAAAGCCACGGCUAACUACGUGCCAGCAGCCGCGGUAAUACGUAGGUGGCAAGCGUUGUCCGGAUUUAUUGGGCGUAAAGCGAGCGCAGGCGGUUUUUUAGGUCUGAUGUGAAAGCCUUCGGCUUAACCGGAGAAGUGCAUCGGAAACCGGGAGACUUGAGUGCAGAAGAGGACAGUGGAACUCCAUGUGUAGCGGUGAAAUGCGUAGAUAUAUGGAAGAACACCAGUGGCGAAGGCGGCUGUCUGGUCUGUAACUGACGCUGAG
rnacentral:rRNA from 1 species